GCAGCCGCGGUAAUACAGAGGGUGCGAGCGUUAAUCGGAUUUACUGGGCGUAAAGCGUGCGUAGGCGGCUUUUUAAGUCGGAUGUGAAAUCCCCGAGCUUAACUUGGGAAUUGCAUUCGAUACUGGGAAGCUAGAGUAUGGGAGAGGAUGGUAGAAUUCCAGGUGUAGCGGUGAAAUGCGUAGAGAUCUGGAGGAAUACCGAUGGCGAAGGCAGCCAUCUGGCCUAAUACUGACGCUGAGGUACGAAAGCAUGGGGAGCAAACAGGAUUAGAUACCCUGGUAGUCCAUGCCGUAAACGAUGUCUACUAGCCGUUGGGGCCUUUGAGGCUUUAGUGGCGCAGCUAACGCGAUAAGUAGACCGCCUGGGGAGUACGGUCGCAAGACUAAAACUCAAAG
rnacentral:rRNA from 1 species